GCCUGGGUAGCUCAGUUGGUUGGGCAUCUGACUCUUGGUCAUGAUCUUGGGGUCACAGGAUUGAACCCUGUGUCAGGCU
rnacentral:tRNA from 1 species